rnacentral:rRNA from 1 species
GACAGAGGGUGCAAACGUUGUUCGGAAUUACUGGGCGUAAAGCGCGUGUAGGCGGCUGCGUGUGUCGGGCGUGAAAUCCCAUGGCUCAACCAUGGAAGUGCACCCGAAACUGCGCAGCUAGAGUCCUGGAGAGGAGACUGGAAUUUACGGUGUAGCGGUGAAAUGCGCAGAUAUCAGGAGGAACACCGGUGGCGAAGGCGGGUCUCUGGGCCAUAACUGACGCUGAGGAGCGAAAGCGUGGGGAGCGAACAGG